rnacentral:pre_miRNA from 1 species
GGGAGCUGCCGGAUCCUGGGCUGUGUUCCCCGGCACCCUGGGCUCCGGGGCAUGCACUGCUGAAAUCACGCUCCUGUGGCUGCACAGUCCCCU